rnacentral:rRNA from 1 species
AGCUUGCUCUUGGGUGACGAGUGGCGGACGGGUGAGUAAUGUCUGGGGAUCUGCCCGAUAGAGGGGGAUAACCACUGGAAACGGUGGCUAAUACCGCAUAACGUCGCAAGACCAAAGAGGGGGACCUUCGGGCCUCUCACUAUCGGAUGAACCCAGAUGGGAUUAGCUAGUAGGCGGGGUAAUGGCCCACCUAGGCGACGAUCCCUAGCUGGUCUGAGAGGAUGACCAGCCACACUGGAACUGAGACACGGUCCAGACUCCUACGGGAGGCAGCAGUGGGGAAUAUUGCACAAUGGGCGCAAGCCUGAUGCAGCCAUGCCGCGUGUAUGAAGAAGGCCUUCGGGUUGUAAAGUACUUUCAGCGGGGAGGAAGGCGAUGUGGUUAAUAACCGCGUCGAUUGACGUUACCCGCAGAAGAAGCACCGGCUAACUCCGUGCCAGCAGCCGCGGUAAUACGGAGGGUGCAAGCGUUAAUCGGAAUUACUGGGCGUAAAGCGCACGCAGGCGGUCUGUUAAGUCAGAUGUGAAAUCCCCGGGCUUAACCUGGGAACUGCAUUUGAAACUGGCAGGCUUGAGUCUUGUAGAGGGGGGUAGAAUUCCAGGUGUAGCGGUGAAAUGCGUAGAGAUCUGGAGGAAUACCGGUGGCGAAGGCGGCCCCCUGGACAAAGACUGACGCUCAGGUGCGAAAGC